CUCUUCCAGGAUGCUUGGUAGCUUGCCUCGAAGCUCAACAUUCUGAAAUAUCUCGUUCUUACACUCUUCAGUCUGCAGGUCGCAUUGGGUGGUAUGCUUACCACAGUAAGUGAAAAAUAACUGCUGUUAAAACCUGUUGCAGCUCUUGCUAAAACAAGCUGUUAUUUUGAAACUUACGGAAUAUUUCAGAAUCUCCUUGUUCACACCACUAACAAGCAGUUAAUUCCCAUGAAUGUUUAGCAUGGUUCUAAAUGAAUCAACUCAGCAUAUAUAAGCUUGAAAGCAAUCAUUCUGUCUGCCUGUUUGCAAGAAGCCUGCCGGAAAGGAACCUCCUGAACACCUAAUACUGAAGUAUAGAGAAGUUUUCUGACUGAGAUAACUGAUGAAUGAUCAGGAAGAGAAACCAGUGACAUGAGCUCUUCUGCAACAGGAUUCUCAUAUGUGGCCUGUAACAAAGGACUAGUGGAAACUUCAUGAGGAAGCCCGUAAGCUUUUCAGCUUUGGACCUUAACGUGCAUUUGUCCAGAGAGGGCCACCAGCAGGAAAGCUCAUCCUCUCCCCAAGAAUACUUGCCACCUAUUGUACUUGAAGUAAUUAUGCAUGGGCGGGAAGGCAACUGUCACGCCAGCUCCCUGAGAGAAGAGAGUGGCUGCUGGAGGAGUUGCCAGAUGAAGACUGGCCCUAUGGGGUGUUCACACAGACCCUGGGAAGUGCUAUCUGCUGUGUGUUCUGCUGCUUUACAGAGAAGGACUUCUAUAAAAAAAGCAUGCACAGCAUGAAGGAGGAAGCAGAUGUAGAAUCGCUCUGCACACUCCGCUCCAGUUCCUGGCAUAUGGUGGAUGGUUAAAAAAAUGGAUCUGAAUGGUGUGAAAAUCUAUUCAUCCUGUAUCACAGAGAAUAAAUUAUUUCUUUUUGGUCAUA